AAAAAAGAGACAUUUUAAUUGGAUAAUAAAGUCAUACGAGGGACGAGUAAGGCCCCAAAGCAAUACAUUCUUGGCCAGUCAUGGACUGUUCAAGACACUGACUCAGAGCUCUGGGCCAAACCUCUGUCUUGAAUAUAUUUUAAUUAAAAUAUAAUGAAAUAUAUUUAAUUAAAAUGAAAAUGAUGAUUUAAACAUUUUUUUAAAAUUUACUUUUAAAAACAUUUUUGUCUUUUUUUAGGGCCGCACCUAUGGCAUAUGGAGGUUCCCAGGUGCAGCCCUAAAAAGAAAAAAAAGGAAAAAAAAAAGAAAAAGAGGGGUCUUGCAGAGACCACUGAUGAUGUGCCUUGAAUGGAAGAGGUUUCAUGAUAGAACUCAGAAGAAAAAGACACUGGGGUUCCCAUCGUGGCUCAGCGAGUUAAGAACCUGACCAGUAUCUGUGAGGAUAUGGGCUUGAUCCCUGGCCUCUCUUAGUGGGUUAGGGAUCUAGCAUCGACAUAGCUGCAGUGUAGGUCACAGAUGUGGCUCCGAUCUGGCGUUGCUGUGGCCGUGGCGUAGGCCAGCAGCUGAAGCUCUGAUUCGACUCCUAGCCUGGGCACUUCCAUAUGCUGCAGGUGCAGCCCUAAGAAGAAAAAAAAAGUCCAGCAUCCACUGAGAAUGUGUUUCCAUACAAAGUCUGCGCACACCUGAAGGACGAAGAGGGAGCACGCAGGCGUGGGAAGGAGAGCUGCAGUGCGGUAGAUGACAGCCUCAGGGCUCCGAAUACUCUUCACAAUUCUUCUUAACCUCCUUAGUAGCCCCUGGCCACCCUCGACUCUAUCGAUCCAGCCCUCAGGCGUCUAUGCAGACUGGGGCGUCCACUGCACACUUCUCUGCCCUCUGUCUGGCGAAUUCCCACACUUCUUUACAACUCAGCUUAAACACUGCCCCCCCCACCUCACCCCCCGGCAGGAGGCAUCCCCCUGCCUCCCAGAGCUGAUUCACUGCCUUUUCUUAUCUUUCCCAGACAACCAGUGAUGGCUCGAGCUGAGCCGCUUCAACACUAGUCUCUUCUUAGAAGCACAGCCUUUCAGGGAGUGGAGAGAAACACUGGGGCCGUGCCAGCCAAGGGAGGAAAGUCUGGCCUGGGAGAGGGGAGAGCUGGGGUGGACUGGACAGUGAAGGGGGUGAGGCCCCUGGGUGAUUUUUGCCUUGGCUUUCCCUUUCAAUUCCCUAGCCCAGCCCUGCCAAGCCAACCAAUUCUGUCAAAUCUUAUUUCUCAGGUGCCUGUGAUCCCAAGACACCGUGGUGCGGGAUUGCAACGCCACGGCCAUUCUUUGAGUGUUGGACCCAGGCAGGGAGGGAAGGCUUGGAUGUGAGCAAUGUCAGAUAACAGUGGCAGAAUAGAGUGAAAGACAGCAGAACAGGACAGCAGAAAAGGGAUGGCCUGUGGGCACUGAAUGGUCUGGGUGCAGGGGGCAGGUGCCUGCAGGGGCUGCAAAGGGAAGUCCUCUGAGAACCGGCCCAAUGUCCAGGAGGAUGCAGGCUGGAUGGGGAAGGGGGACUGCAUGCGAACGGUCCACGAGGAGCCCCCGGAUUGGAGGCCAGAACAGAAGAAAACAUCAGGGAGUCUGGGAGGGUUAUCAGGGCCAGAAUUUUGAGGCCCUCGCAAGCCAGGCAGAGGGACAGUGCUGGGAAAACGGCGGUGAGAAAUGCAGAAAGCCGUGCAGCUGAUGAGAGGUGUUUAGGGGGAAAUGGGUCUGGGGGCAGCCCUUCGGGAGGCUGAGGCAAAGAACCCAGUUAGUAAACUCCUCCGAAAUCACAGCCGGGCAGGAGGCACAUGGUACUAGAGUCUCACGUCGUGUCCCCCCCCCACCCCAGUCAGCACGACUGACAUCAGCAGCUCACUGGAGCACACUUGCCCCUGACUCCAGGUGCAACUCCAGAGGGUUUUUUAGGCCACUCUGGGCUCCUGGCAGCCCCUACCGAUCCAUCCAGGGUGAUGGGUCAAAUCUCCCCGCCUUGCGGGUUCGAUCAGUCAGGCGAUGUUAUGGGGCACUGACACGCAUCCUCAAAUUCCAGUGGCUUAAAGCGGUGAAGGUUCAUCGCUCAUUCAGGCUACCUGUCCAUCACAGUUGACCAGAGAUGGCUGUCAGUGCCAGCACCGUCCAGACAGACUGACAGGGCAGCCCCUAUACAGGGCACUGCUGGGCACCAAGGCAGGGGAGAGGGAGGGAGAGAGAGAGAUACAUCUCUGGAAGGUCUCUCACUAGCGUUUCAUAUGAAAGCCUGAAAAGGCAUAUCCCUCCGUAUGCCACUCAUUGGCCAGAACUGGUCACAGCAGGCAAGGCCGUGGAAUCUUAAUCUCCAAAAGGCAGAGAGUUAGAAAAAAUAAAAGAAAGGCCUGGAGUUCACAUUGUGGUUCAGCAGGUUAAAAACGCGACUGGUAUCCAUGAGGAUGCGGGUUUGAUCCCUGGCCUUGC
rnacentral:lncRNA from 1 species